rnacentral:rRNA from 1 species
UACGUAGGUGGCAAGCGUUGUCCGGAUUUAUUGGGCGUAAAGCGCGCGCAGGCGGUCCUUUAAGUCUGAUGUGAAAUCUUGCGGCUCAACCGCAAGCGGUCAUUGGAAACUGGGGGACUUGAGUACAGAAGAGGAAAGUGGAAUUCCACGUGUAGCGGUGAAAUGCGUAGAGAUGUGGAGGAACACCAGUGGCGAAGGCGACUUUCUGGUCUGUAACUGACGCUGAGGCGCGAAAGCGUGGGAGCAAACAGG